GCAAGGCCAUGCUCAGGACCCAUAACUCUUUCCCCUCCAUAUUUCAAACCUUGGCUUUGUAUGCUUCUUCCUCCAGGAGCCUCCAUCACAGGCCCUCCAGGACCCCGAGGUCCAGCAGGUAAGCACUCAUACCUCUGAGUAGGGAAGGAGAGUGAAACAGGAUCCAGAAUCCAUGAAAUCAUGGCUAUUCAACACGGCCAGACUUCCUCUGUAGCACAUCCCUACCCAAUCCUAUCAGAGUGUACAAACUUACCCAGUUUUCUUUAAAUGCCACUAGAUAGAAAAUCAGCAAAUUGCCCCCAUGGGAGUGAAUCCCAAAGUGGGCUUUCAGCCUUGACCUAGGUUGGGGGUUUUUCUUGCUCAGGGGAAGGCCUACCAGGACCUCCUGGACCACCUGGAAGUUUCCUUACAAACUCAGAAACGUUCUUCUCUGGCCCCCCUGGUCCACCUGGACCUCCUGGUCCCAAGGGAGAUCAAGGUUCUCCCGGACCUAGAGGAUAUCAAGGAGACCCCGGACUCCCAGGACUCUCUGUCUCAGGUUCAGACACUCUGGGGGUCUCGCUACAAGGCCCACCUGGCCCACCUGGUGCUCAGGGACUUCCAGGACCCAAAGGUGACAAAGGCAGGUGUUGGCAAGGAGGAGUUAUCGGGAUGGGAUGUUCCCACAAUCUGUAGGACUUUAGGUCAUCGGGCAUCCAACAGGCCCCCUAUUUCAGAUCCUUAAUCAUUCCACGAGUCUUUGUUGAGUAGCCAGCUUUGAGCUAAAGACAAGGAAGAGGAGGCAAACUUGGUCCUCAGAAGCUAACUCCCUUUUGAGAGAAUGGUGAUAAGCACUGAGAACAGCUGGCACCACAACAUAAAAAUGAGGAAGCCUGUGAAUAGAGGGGAGGCAAGGGCAGAGAGCAAGACCUGGCUGCUGGCUCAU
rnacentral:lncRNA from 1 species